ACUCACUGGGGGCUGACGAGGUAUAAGCGUAGUCCGUUUCGCUACGAAGUCGGGUAUAUGUUUUUCUACGAAAACAUUGUGUACAUACACAUGACAUCGAAGAACGGAUUAGUGGAAAUUUGUGUUUAAAACAGAGUCAUGGAGUGGCUGGAUGUUUCCUUUGAGGAAGAGAUAGUAACAACGACACAACAUGAUCCGAAGCGCACAGUCGACAUGGUCCGGUCUCACUAUGAUGCCGGCGGAGCCCCGGUGCGUGAUCAGGCAUCUACCGGGAUGAACCGGGGCCAUACCGGGAUGAACCGGUGCUCCACCGGGAUGAACCGGUGCUCCACCGGGAUGAACCGUAGACGACCGGGGACAACCGGGGCUCCACCGGUAAAAUAUUAAAAUGUUUAAUACCUCCGAGAUGAACCGCGAGUCACCGGGAAGGACCGACACCGACCGGCGUGGCACUGUGAACAACCGGGACUGCACCGGUACGGCACCAUAGCUCCACCGGGGCCCAAACAGACCCCGGCAGAGCUACGGGGAGCCUGGUGAAUGCCGACAGAGUCCCGGUAUAGAUUCGGUACAUAAAUAAACCGGCGCUCUGACGGUUCCAUCCCGGUUGUGUCUACAUUGUCCGAAGGUACCACUGGCUCGGGAAAUAUCUGACAAUGGGCGUGUUAAUUCGUGAUAUCUUUCGCACAGGACUUUCUGUCACUGUAGAUUUUGUCGGAAUUAUCAAUUUGCCAGAAACCGGACUGAAUGUAAUAUUUUCAGAAUACUUUUAAUGUCGCCACCCAUAAUAUUGAACGUUCGAUUUCUGUAUUGUACACCUGGUGCAGUGUCACAAGGCAUCUCCCACAUAAAGGGAACCUUUUCGUUUGGAUGCUCAUGCGCACAAUUAAGCACAGCAUCUUUUGCACUGGGAAAUGGUAGUCUGCAGUAACUGCAAACUGCAUGUGAUAUGUCCUGAAAAGGAUACAGAGACUUCGUUGAGUAACCUAUACAUUAUAUUUGUACUUCGUAGCACAACCAAUACAUACUCUGUGCGAAACCUAUACAUAAAGCGACUUGUAAUUUCCUUCGAAACAAAGCAUUUGAAUAAUUAAAAUACAUGUU